GCUCACAGCUGAUUCCCCUGGAAACUUUCCAAAGUCAGCUUCCUCAGACAACUGUUUCAGCUUUCUUAUAAGGAACCAGCUGCUUGUGUUCUGUUCUCACACCAGGUGUCCUAGUUAGGUCAUUUAGCAAGCUUGCUCCAAGCAUCAAGUCUCCUACAGGCAGCUCUUUUAUUCCUUUUGCUCUCUUACAAAUCCAACAAGCUUAUCUAGGAGCUUGAACAAAGGGAUGAAUUUUAAAGGACCUAGAGCUGAAGCUGAAGCCCCUAGGGAAGGCAGAUAAAGAGUCUAGUAAAUAAACAAUCUGAUAUUCCAGAAGAGGUUCAUUUGGACUUUGUGAGUUGGCCGGAGGCCCAAGCCACUGAAGACCCACCAAAGUUGGCCAGAAGCCUACAGAGGGCACCACAUGCAAGAAAGACUGUGAUAUCUUGCCACUCUAAGACAUGUCAUGGUCCUGCUGCAAGAUGGCACUUCAUGGGGCCUCGUGCACCCAGAGGGGAGGACUGGUGUGAGGAAAAAUUGGAAGA